rnacentral:rRNA from 1 species
UACGUAGGGUGCAAGCGUUGUCCGGAAUUAUUGGGCGUAAAGAGCUCGUAGGCGGUUCGUCGCGUCGGCUGUGAAAACCCGGAGCUCAACUCCGGGCCUGCAGUCGAUACGGGCGGACUCGAGUUCGGCAGGGGAGACUGGAAUUCCUGGUGUAGCGGUGAAAUGCGCAGAUAUCAGGAGGAACACCGGUGGCGAAGGCGGUUCUCUGGGCCUGUUCUGACGCUGAGGAGCGAAAGCGUGGGGAGCGAACAGG